UCUGGUCACUCCCAAUCCUUGUACCAGUGUCGUUACCACGGUGACGCUGGACAGGUUUGGGGGGGGCUGUG
rnacentral:miRNA from 1 species